rnacentral:rRNA from 1 species
GUUGUUGCAGUUAAAAAGCUCGUAGUCGGAUUUCAGUUCGAUGUUUGGUUCUCUACUGAGGGCCCGAUGUCGGAUUUCUUUGAUACGACCCUUCGUGCCCUUGAUUGUGGCGUGUCUGGCUAGUAUCUCUUUUACUUUGAGAAAAUUAGAGUGUUCAAAGCAGGUUAUCGCCUGAAUAUUACUCUUGGAAUAAUACUAUAGGACUCUGGUUCUAAUUUGUUGGUGACUUGGGACCGGAGUAUGAUUGAUAGGGACGGUUGGGGUGAUUCAUACUGCAAAGCGAGAGGUGAAAUUCUUGGACCUUUGUAUGAUGAACAACUGCGAAAGCAUUUCACCUAGGACGUUCCCCGUUGAUCAAGAACGAAAGUUGGGGGAUCGAAGACGAUCAGAUACCGUCG